ACAGCCGAGAUUAACGAGUUCGCUCCGCAACAGGCACAAACACUGCUCAAGUAUAAAAACACGACACCUGGUUCACUUCCUGUGGUGCCUGUUCAUCGGCUUUAAUUUGAAGUGCGAGCAGGAAGGAAAAAGGAUGGGGGUACAGAGAUCACAGAUUUUCUGAGCGCCAUUCCUGGGAUCUGCUUUCAUAGUUAUAAUUAAACUCUUGGACUAAGUACAACUUUGUGUCUACGUGGUUUUUCAAAUGAACACUUCUGCGGGAGGGGUUAUGAAACAAGGUGAUUCAAAAGCACGGUCUGCUGUUCCACAUUUACAGAGUGAAUGAAUAUCCACAAACAGAGAAUGAAAUGAGGAAACAUUUAUUCGUAUUCUCAUGAUUAUACAAAAGGACUGGGCUGAAUUUCAUUCAAUCUGCUGCAGGGAGACAUCUCGGAUACCCUGCUGGGAGGUGAGGGGAGCUUACAGGUCUGUGAGCAGAAGUGUCCCAUUCAGGGUGAAAAGACUGGCCCUGCACACCAGCCUGACUCCCUGCAGGAGCCCAUAAUGAGUGAUUGUCCAACGUGACAUAGAUUCAGAGAGCAGGUGCUGCAACUUGAGUGUGGACUGCUGCAAGCUGGUGCUCCACUGCUUGACUCCAUAAGGAGCACAGACGGGAAGUCAAUCACCACAAAAGUGAACAGCAAGCAUAGGCUUCUGUGUUUGCAUUAGAAUCCCAAACUUAGUGACAUUUUAACAGCAAAAAGUUACACUUUCAACUGCUUUUCCUGAAUAAGGCUGGAGACUUCUUUCCUCAGUGCUGGUAACUUCCCAUGCAGCUUCUUGUGAAGCCAGAUGUGAAAUCAACUUUUUCUUGUAAUUGGUAAAAACAAAAUGAAAACUUCAAAUAUAAAAUGGUUCACCUUGAAAUGACCAAUUUUCCUUCUGAUUUUGCUAUAUUUUUUUUCUAUGUCCUUUAAAUCAUUUGCAAAACUAUGUUGUUGCCUCCUUCAUUCUGACUGUAGAUUCACACUAUGGAUCUUUCAAAAAUUAGUGCCUGUCAUCCUGUUUCACAUUCACUGUUCAGGUGCAGUAAAUGUUAAAAGGUGCUUUGGUAGGAUACAACAUGCCACAUUGAUAUCACAUACAUCACUGUCAAACAACUUACUGACGUGCAGAUUGGGAUCGACAGUCCCCGGUAGCUCCAGACAUAUAGGUGUACUUCAUCUAGAUCAGGGGUGGGCAAACUUUUUGACUUGUGGGCCACAAAGGGUUCUAAAAUUUGACAGGGGGGCCGGACCAGGAGCAGAUGGACGGUGUUUUGGUAAUACACCUCAUAAGAGAAAAUAAAAUAUCAUGGGAUAUGUAGAAAACAUGUGCUUUAAUUUCAAUUGAAAAUG